rnacentral:rRNA from 1 species
AUGUCUUCACAUGUGAAUACGUUCAUGAUGGUCAGUGGAACGAUAGUGCACAGGUGGUUGCGGUCGGCGGUACAGGACAUGAAAGAAAAUAACCUGACAGAGGUUUUUUGUCCGUGUCGAAAAUGCAAAGGAAUAGUUUGGCUCGACCCCUAUGAUGAUGGUCGUGUCGAAGCGCACCUGCUCAUGACUGGUUUCAUGGAUGGCUAUACUUGGUGGAUAAUUGAAGAUGAGGAUGAUGAUGUUGAGGACGCCGACGGGGCAGGCAAUGACGACACGGGGCAAGACGAAGAGAUGAUCGAUAAUGGCGGCGGGGAAGAGGCCGGACAUGGCGGCGGAGAAGGGGCCGGACAUGGCGGCGGAGAAGGGGCCGGACAUGGCAGAGGAGAAGGGGCCGGACAUGGCGGCGGAGAGAACGUGGACUCCACGCCGCAGAGUUCGUCGGUACUAAGUUCAAUCGUGCGGGACCCUCAUGUUCAAGCACUGCUUCGCAAGGAGACGAGUACUGAGAGAGCUGCUUCUAGAGAGGAGGCUAAGCUGCAACAACUGGUGGUAGACUCGAACACUCCAUUGUAUGAUGGCUGCAAUCCUGAGGUGACCCGCUUGAGUUUCACGCUCCAACUCCUGAAGGCGAAGGCUAAAAACAAAUGGACCGACACUAGCCUCGAUGAGUAUCUCAAGUACCUAAAGGAUGUUCUCCCCGCGGGGAAUCUAUGUCCUACUAGUGUGGAUGAGGCCAAGAAGAUCGUGUGCCCUCUUUAUCUACCGCACGUUAGAUACCAUGCAUGCAUCAACGAUUGCAUAAUUUAUCGGAAGGAGCACGCGGAAAAAACAAGCUGUCCGGUGUGCAAUGCUUCUCGAUACAAGAAGGCCGGGAAGAAAUGUCCCCAGAAAGUUGUAUGGUACUUACCGACCACUCCUCGUCUCCAGCGGUAUUUCAUAGAUCCCAAAGAAGCAAAGCUCAUGCGCUGGCACGCGGAGAGGAAGAAGCCCGGCGAUGGAGAUGAUCCGAAGCUGAGACACGUCAAGGAUGGAAGCCAGCGGAGAACGUUGAAUGGCUUCUAUCGGUAUUUCGAAUGUGAUGCAAGGAACAUCGUGCUCGGCGCAUGUACCGAUGGCAUGAAUCCGUUUGGCAACCAGAACACCAACCAUAGCACAUGGCCCAUGUUUGUAUAG